AAUCAACGCUGGCGGCGUGCCUCAGACAUGCAAGUCGAACGAUUAAAGCUCUCUUCGGAGAGUGUAUAGAGUGGCGCACGGGUGAGUAACACGUAAGUAAUCUACCUUUGAGUGGGGAAUAACAGUCGGAAACGACUGCUAAUACCGCAUAAUGCAGCGGCACCGCGAGGUGACAGUUGUUAAAGGAGCAAUUCGCUUAAAGAGGAGCUUGCGGCAGAUUAGCUUGUUGGUAAGGUAACGGCUUACCAAGGCUACGAUCUGUAUCCGGUCUUAGAGGACGGUCGGACACACUGACACUGAAUAACGGGUCAGACUCCUACGGGAGGCAGCAGUCGGGAAUUUUGGGCAAUGGGCGAAAGCCUGACCCAGCAACGCCGCGUGAAGGAUGAAGUAUUUCGGUAUGUAAACUUCGAAAGAAUAGAAGAAUAAAUGACGGUACUAUUUAUAAGGUCCGGCUAACUACGUGCCAGCCGCCGCCGUAAG
rnacentral:rRNA from 1 species